rnacentral:lncRNA from 1 species
CGUGCACUCUGCGAUUCAAGCUACUUUCGGGAAAUGAAGCAUAGCUUUUAUUCUUCUACAUGGAAAUAACUAUGAUAACAAUCAAGCAUCCCUCAUCAUCCUGUGGGAUAAUCUUACUGAAAAUUUGAAUGUCGCUUUGAAGAUGUGGAAGAUGAAUCUACUUGCUCACACAUUCAGAAAACGACACUUAUGAGAUUGCAUAGAAAUUUAAUGUCUCUACAGAACCUUGGUGGGAAUUGAGAAUAUUACAUGUGAUUUAAAGGCCAUUGUACAGCUAUUUGCUGGCUCCGAAGGACCCUCACCAGAUAUCAAAUCUGUUGGCACCUUGAUCUUGGACUUCCUGGUCUCCAGAACUAUGAGAAAUACAUUUCUGUUUUUUAUAAAUUACUAAUUCUAAGGGAUUUUGUUAUAGCAGCUCAAAUGGACUAAGACAAUUAGUCUAAAAUCUAAGCAUAUUUUACUUGACUAAACACUAUAAAUUUUAUUGAAAAACAUUAUUGUAAUUUAACUGUGGAUUUGAACAUUUUAAAAUAAAAAUAAGCAUGUUUAUGUUUGAUGUUGAAAUUCUCUGUUUCUGAAGUAGCGAAUGUUUUAGAAAGAAAUUCAAGGGGGAUAUUAGCAUAUGAUAGUCUUGUUUACUUCCAAUUAACACAGGAAUACUUUUUUCUGACAAACACUAAAAAUAGUUAAAAAUUAUGAAUCGUUUUUACCAAUGUGUAUCUUUGUAAACUAGGAGUUAAGACACAACACAUGUUUCCCCACUUUUCUCUUUUAUAGUGUGACAGUGUGAUUUUGUACUAUGAAUAUUUAUUAUAUGUUAAAGCCUACUUGCUUUUUAAAAAUGGAUUAUGAUCUUGAUCUUUUACUAGAUUGUAAGCAUCAUGUUCAUUUUAUUCACUAGCACAGGCCUGGCAUCUGUCACAGAGCACGGCACAUGCUAGCAAGCUCAAUAAGUACUUCUUACAUGAGCGAUUGUUUAGAUUUAUGAGUGAAUGAUGAUGACUCUUUUUCUCUCCCUAUUCCAUCCUCAGCUUCCUUCUUCCAUAUGUCUUUCACUUUACAUGCUUCCUAUUCUAUUGUUUUGAACAAUGUCUUGCUUGGUGUCCUUUUUUUUCUGUCACUGAUGUGUCUUACUCCUUUUCUCUUUCAGGAUAUCUUUCUAUACCCAUCUUUGUGUUUCUUCCUUAAACUUACAUUCCUGUUCUCUCCUCUGUUAAAAAUAUGAUAUGAAGUAAACAUUUUUAUCUGUUGUGUUAUUAAAUGAGUUUCGCCCUUUGCUGUUUAGAGAAUAAGGUAAUUGCAAUAUGUUUAUACCUUUUUUCCUCUUAAAAAGAUAAGAAAUAUGAUUCCUAUUGGAGUUUGGUUUUUAUUUUUAUUUUCUGUGGGAUUUUUUGUUUUAUGUGUGUUUCUGGAAGCCUAGAUUUUUUUAAGUGCUAAGCUACAGAAAUGUAGAAUAAUCUUACCCAAUCAACCAAAAACAAAUCCCCCAAAAUUAAGUUCAUCAAUUAAAUUUGUUUUCUAAACUGUUGGUGCUAUAAAGAUAAAACUUUAUUCUGCAUUAUUUCUGUGUUUGUUUAAAAUUAUUAUUGAGUUUAACUUAAAUUUAGAAACUUUUUGACUAAGAAUGUUUAGAGCACAAUAUUAUUUACAUAUAUAUAACUGUAAAUUAAGUUCAAAAAUAAAAUUCUUAUUCUUACAGUCUUAUCUCACUAAUACAACCAAAAUAACAUUAGUUAACACAAAGAACAUUAAAAACCAAUAUAAAUCAAAUUAAAGACAUUUAUUUUAUGUAUAAACCAUCAUUUAAAUAAAACUAUAUUAAGUGUAGCAUUUCAUUUCAUUUUUAAUUAUUUAUUCUUUUUGUUUGGAGUAAAAUGCCUUAUAUCUGUAUAUGUAUAUAUGCAUAAAUAUAUACAAAUAUUGAAACUAUAAAUAUUAUUUGAUAUUUUUAUAUUUUAAAAUUACUGCUCUUUUAAACAAUGCACUUAUUUUAACCACUAAUACUACUACUACAUUUAGCUAAAUCCCCGUAAAAUAAAAUUGUAUAUGUGAAUUAUUUUAAUACACACACAUGCAAAUGUUUUCUACUUAGUAUUACUAUAAAAUUGUUUAACUUGGUAAUAAAACCACACGCUGGUAUACUUCGCUGAAAUGUUGGUAUUUUAUAGAUUAUGAUGUUAAAUGUUUUUCUUAUAUUUUGUUUAUAACUUACCUACCUUACUUUGAACAAUCUCGCCUGUCAAAAUGCUACCUUUUUUCUAUAUGUGAACUUUCAUUUACACUAUUUUUUAUGGUAUAUUAGAA